CACGCUGCAUCCUGAGCGCCAGAGCACUGACUGCCAGGCCCAUCUAGUCUGCCGUCCCUCGCGGGGGUGUCCCCUAUGGGCCGUGUCUCGCGGGGGUGUGCGGCCCCUGCAGCUCCCGGGAGCGGCAACGUCGGGGACAAGGGCUGAAGGACGCUAGGAAUGGCCAGGGGGAGAUUCGGCGUGACCAUCGCUUAGGGUUGCGAGAGGUUCCGGGGUUAAAUCACGGAGGUCCCCUCAUUUUCAAACCCUCAUCCCCGUUUAGGGCGGGCAGCGAGGCCUCAGCGGAGGCCCAAGCCCGGACGACCCUUCUCCUCUCUAGGCUCCCGGUAAAAUGCUGCGUCCCCUGGCGGUGGAAAAGGGAAGAAAAGCUUGGAGCGUUCGUCGAGCCGCCCGUUUGGGAAGAACUGAACUCCGACCCCCAGCUCUGGCCUCUGUCGGCUGCGAGGGUCGCCUGGGCCUAGCUCAGGCCUCGAGGGGGCUCGGCUGAGGGCAGAGGCCCGGGGUCUGUGUGGCACAGGGGAUCCCUUCCUAGCAUGUCCCGGCUGGGGCUCAGCUUGAGAGACCCCCGCCUUACGCAGGCCACACAGACCCCUCUCCGCGGGCCGCAGCCCCCGGUCACUGGCCCUUCUCUGGGUGUGGGGCCACCUGGAGCCGCUGGGAGCCCGGGAGCCCUCGGGGGAGGCGCCGCCGCGGUGCUCGGGGUGCGGGGUCCGCCUCUGUGCGCCUGAGGGCGGGGUCUUGCGGGGACUCCUCCAGGGGCUGGUCCCCGCGGCGCUGCACCUCCCACCAGCUUCCUGGGAUCGAAACGGAAACCUGCCCCCGCGCAACCCUCCGCGCUGGGCUUGAAGUUGGGCCGCGGCCGGGACCGGGUGUGGGCGGGGCGGUGGUGGCCUGAAGGCGGGGCUGUGUGGGGGUGGAGCCCCGGGUGGGAACGUCCGGAGACAGACGUCAGAAAGCCGCUGUCACGCUGGCUCGUUGGUCUAGGGGUAUGAUUCUCGCUUUGGGUGCGAGAGGUCCCGGGUUCAAAUCCCGGACGAGCCCGUUUUGUCUUUUUUCUUCGGAACACCUCAUUUUUCCGAUCCGACUUCCCGCCUCCGUCCUGCCUGCAGCCCCUCGCCUUGCCCACCUUCAGGCAGGACCCGCCUGAGCCUCUUGACUGGAGACUUCCACCUCUGAGUUCUGGGUGCACCCGAGGCCAGGCGCUGGACCAGUGAAUCCCAGACCUGAGACCCGAAAGGAAGGCCACCCCCUCUCCCACCUCCUCUGCCUCUGCAGACAUGGCCCUAGAUCCCAGGCUAGAGUGCAGUGGUGCAAUCUCGGCUCACAGCAACCUCGACCUGCCAAACUCAAGGAUCUUCCCACACCUUCACCUCCCAAGUAGCUGGGACCACAGGUGGGCACCACCAUGCCAGGCUAAAUUUUUUUUGGUGUGAUAUACAGAUAUAAUUUUCUUAGAGACGGAAGUCUCACUGCAAUCCGGAGAUUAGUCUCCAGCCUGGACUAAAGCAGUCUUCCUGCCUCAGCCUCCAAUCCCAAAGUGCUGUGUUACAGGCCAGAACCACCAUGCCCAGCUGGCUCUUUUUCCUUCUUGAGAGGCUGCCAGAGGUGCCUUUCACAACCGAGGGGAGUGGAAACCGAGACUGAGGAUGGCAAGCUCUGUACCUCGUGUUGGGGCAAGGAAGGGCGUGAGGUCACCAUGGAAGUCCAGUGGGCUGUGCUCCGGGAAUGGGGUGACUUUUCUCUAUGCGGGAAGAACGGCAGCAUUUAAGUGGGUUGGUUUUUUUGUUUUUUGUUUUUUGGGAGGACAGAGUUUUGCUCUUGUUGCCCAGGCUGGAGUUCAAUGGCCCGAUACUGCAACCUCCACCUCCCAGGUUCCAGCGAAUCUCCUGCCUCAGCCUCCCGAGUAGCCGGGAUUACAGGCUAAUUUUGUGAUUUUAGUAAAGACAGGGUUUCUCCAUGUUGGUCAGGCUUGUCUUGAAGUCCUGACCUCAGGUGAUCCGCCUGGCCCGGCUUCCCAAAGUGCUGGGAUUAUAAGUGAGAGCCACCGCGCCUGGCAUUAAGUAGGUUUUAUCAUUAUUCUCUUAUGGUGAGGCCACCAGAUCAAGAGAUGACAGCCAUUGAAAAGAUUCUUACUCACAGUUCCCAAGAGGAGGGACACGCCAUGCCACUGGGGACCACGCAGGGAAGUACCAGGGUCAGUGGAGGGGGUUGGUAAGCAAGAGCCUAUAUUGUAGUUUUUAAUGGAAGGAAAAGGCAGGCAGCGUAAGAAAGUUUAGGAUUAACUUGUUUUGGUAAUUUCAGCGAGCUCUGGGGCAUUGGGGCUGUCCUUAGUCUGGUACCUGGCCCGGGGGUGGCUAGGGCAGGUGGACAGUGGCCUGGAGUGUGAGACCCAUAGAAGGGGAGGCAGCCAGUGUGUGAGCUCUGGAUUGGUUGGUUUACAUUUGAAAUGCACAACCUGUAGGAAAUGGUUUAACCCUGGGAAGAGCAGUCCCGCCAGGGUCAACAAGGUACCAGAUGUCGAGCACCCAAAUACAGAACAGACAAGACAUGACGAAUACAGGCGGGGCUCAGGGCUUCGGCUGACACGCCGGGGCCUCCCAAGCUCGGACGAUGUGAAUCCAGAUCCAUACCCACCUGGGAUUACUGCCCCCACCAGGGUGGGGCCAAGCAGCAGAGCCUGAGCUCCAGGGCGUGGAACGGUCCAGACCAGCGGCCUUGUCUCUGACCCAAAGGGACGUUAGUUUCUCUUCUUAAGCCCAAGGACACAGGCGCUGGGUGCCCCUUUCAUGCCUCUUGAUUCUCAGAUGCGUAAUUAGAGCUGUCUCGCACAGAACCCCGGGGGCCACUAGGAUGCCUGACGAGGCCUCUCCUGAUCCUGAGGCAACUAAGCAGUUUCCCCAGCAGGCGUGUUUUUCUCUAGUGGCCAGAGCAUGUUAAGGCUCCUGUUCUUUAAAGGGAAACCACUAUGGCCUCCACCAGCUGGAUAGUUCCUCUCCAAAGUCCCCUUGGGAGCCAGGGGCGUCCCUCCUCAGGCCGGCCCUAACUCCCUCCCCCACUUCCACACCCAGGCCACACCCUUCUACACGGUGCCCUCAGCCCAGGACCUGGUGAUGCUGGGGCUCAGCCUCCAUUUGUCCCAUGAACAGAAAGCAGAUAAUUGAGGGUGAAACCCACACUGUGGAAGAAGGUCCCUAAAAUGGAGGUCUUAACUGUCUUCUGGAUCAAAUCCCAGAGGAACCACAGUUUGCUUUUGUCAUUUUAGGGCAUGGAUGGAGCCCCCAGCAGAGCUGCAUGGGGUCUGCACUUGUGAGCUUGGCUCAGAGACAGCUUCGGUGUGUAGCAAACACAAAUACCCGCUGGAACCGAAUGGCCAGAUUGGCCUGGGCACUGAGGCUGGGUUUCCGGGUGGUCAGAGGGGCACCUCGACCCGGGCCACGGGUGCUUCCCAUGAGGGCUCAGUCCGCUUCCCCAUCCUGGGGCUUAAGCUCACUCAUUUGAAGGGGCAGCUUGGACUCUGGGAGGUAGGUGUCUGCACUGAAGCUGGAACCGCUGGGGCGUGAGAAAGGGUGUGAAAUUCCAGAGGGCCCCUACUUCUGCAGGGGGUCCAGGGCUGGGAAGCCUUUGAGACGGAGGCUCCAGGUCCCGAGGUCGCCGCGGUGCGUCCCUCCCGUACCUGGCGUGGCAGGGAAGGGGUGCGAUUCCAGGAGACUGGGGUGCCUCUGAGGAGUCCAAGUCCGGCUCCUCGCCCUCUGCCCAAGGACGAAGGAGGACCUAGCAGCUUUGCCUAGCUGAUGGUCUCAGUUCUGCAAGGGCGGCGGGGAAAACGGGACGCCCCAAAACCCGAGCUGAGUUUCCUACUUGGAGUCGUGAGGUGAGGCGAUACUGAAGCUCGCCGUUCCCCUCCUCCCCAUGAGGACCAGAAUCUGGUCCGGGAAAAGCGUCAGGAAAGGCGGACAAAUAGUGACCAAAUAACCUAGGACUGAUCCGGACCAGAGAUGGGGGAGCUGCGUUGGGCUCAUUAAGGGCGACAAAGUCCAUGACUCCCAGUGUGGCUCGUUGGUCUAAGGGUAUGAUUUUCGCUUAGGGUGCGUGAGGUCCCGGGUUAAAAUCCCAGAGGUGCCCAGGCGGAGGUUGCAGUGAGCUGAGAUCCCGACACUGCAUUCAAGCCUGGGAAGACUCCCUCUCAAAAAAAAAAAAAAAAAAAAAAGAA